AUUGAACGCUGGCGGCAGGCCUAACACAUGCAAGUCGAGCGGGGUUUUCGGACCUAGCGGCGGACGGGUGAGUAAUGCGUAGGAAGCUGCCCGAUAGAGGGGGAUACCAGUUGGAAACGACUGUUAAUACCGCAUAAUGUCUACGGACCAAAGUGUGGGACCUUCGGGCCACAUGCUAUCGGAUGCGCCUACGUGGGAUUAGCUAGUUGGUGAGGUAAUGGCUCACCAAGGCGGCGAUCUCUAGCUGGUUUGAGAGGAUGAUCAGCCACACUGGAACUGAGACACGGUCCAGACUCCUACGGGAGUCAGCAGUGGGGAAUAUUGGACAAUGGGCGCAAGCCUGAUCCAGCCAUGCCGCGUGUGUGAAGAAGGCCUUCGGGUUGUAAAGCACUUUCAGCGAGGAGGAAGGGUGGUGUGUUAAUAGCACAUCAUUUUGACGUUACUCGCAGAAGAAGCACCGGCUAACUCUGUGCCAGCCGCCGCCGUAAGAC
rnacentral:rRNA from 1 species